CAGUCGCCGCGGUAACACGUAGGGUGCGAGCGUUAAUCGGAAUUACUGGGCGUAAAGCGUGCGCAGGCGGUUAUGUAAGACAGGUGUGAAAUCCCCGGGCUUAACCUGGGAACUGCGCUUGUGACUGCACAGCUAGAGUAUGGCAGAGGGGGGUGGAAUUCUGCGUGUAGCAGUGAAAUGCGUAGAUAUGCGGAGGAACACCGAUGGCGAAGGCAGCCCCCUGGGCCAAUACUGACGCUCAUGCACGAAAGCGUGGGGAGCAAACAGGAUUAGAUACCCGGGUAGUCCCUGUCUCUUAUAC
rnacentral:rRNA from 1 species